UACGAAGGGGGCUAGCGUUGCUCGGAAUCACUGGGCGUAAAGCGCACGUAGGCGGGUUGUUAAGUCGGGGGUGAAAUCCUGGAGCUCAACUCCAGAACUGCCUUCGAUACUGGCGACCUUGAGUCCGGGAGAGGUGAGUGGAACUCCGAGUGUAGAGGUGAAAUUCGUAGAUAUUCGGAAGAACACCAGUGGCGAAGGCGGCUAUCUGGACCGGUACUGACGCUGAGGUGCGAAAGCGUGGGGAGCAAACAGG
rnacentral:rRNA from 1 species